rnacentral:lncRNA from 1 species
AGAGUGCUCGACCAACUUGUUGCAUAGUCGGCCGAGAUUGGGGAUUAACACGCAAGCAUGCAAAUGCUAACUUCACUACAGCCACUAUUUCCUCGGCCAAUUGAUUCACAGGAGGUGAGGGGCGCUGGUCCAUCACAUCAUUCAAUAGGCGAUGGUCCACAGUUGAUGGUGAUGAGGAUGAUGAGGACGCUGACCAUAACAGGGACGAGAUGAGUUCUCCAGGAUGCUUUCCCAUAAUUACUUCCAAUGUUACCACUCCGAAGCUAUAAACAUCAGUUUUAUUAUCAACCUUCAUCGUGUAAGCAAGUUCUGCAAAGAAGAUUUAAUCAUGCUCUGUUCUGCUAAGCAAUUAUAAGAGUCUUAUAUAUGAUGUAUAGAGGCAGUUUAGAGGUAAGCAAGGAACUAAGAAAAUUGUACCUGGAGCAGUAUAACCAAAAGUUCCUGCAAAUGAAGUCCAAUUAGAUGAGUCCAACUUUAAAAGCCUAGCCGUGCCAAAGUCAGAUACAUGAGCCUCAUAUUCUGAAUCUAACAAAACAUUGUUGCUCGAUAUGUCUCGAUGAACUAUAGGAGGUGAGCAAUCAUGGUGCAUGUAAGAUAAAGCUUUAGCCACGCCUUUAACAAUGUUUAGCCUCACAUUCCAAUCUAAUUUUUCUGCUUCUUCGUCGUUGCUUAGAAUGUUUCGCAAGCUCCCCUUUUCCAUAAACUCAUAAACCAAAAAUGAGAUCUCUGCAAAUGAACUGAAGCCAUAAAGCUUGACGAUGUUGCGAUGCCUUAUCUGUGUUAAAGCAUGAAUCUCGCUUUUGAAAGCUUUCAAAUCAGCCAUAUCUCCAUCUUGUGAUGAGUGAAGUUUUUUCACAGCAACAACCCGGCCUGUUGGCAACUCAGCCUUGUAAACAGUACCAUAUCCUCCAGUGCCGAUACACUGUUUCGAACUGAAAUUAUCGGUCCCCUGUAUGAUGUGCUCAUACAACAAUUCUCCAUCAUGGCCCCAUAUUGCAAAUAGAUCUUCAACAUCUGCUUCUGGAGACUUGGUUUUUCUCUUCCUCAAUUUUUGGAAAAGAAAAUAAAUGCCAAUAAUAAAAGAAAAUAAGAGCAAUAGAGUGCUCACAAUGAGGAGCACCAUGAUCAAAACAUAAAACUUGUUGGGCCUCUUUCGACUAGCACUGCAUGGCUUGAGAUGAGUGACAUUAUUUCCACACAGACCUUUAUUAUUUUUGAAUGCCUCAAAUGGAGUGAAAGCUUUGAUGUUGGGGAGAGGACCUUCCAACUGAUUGUAGGAUAUAUCAACAACUGUCAGGCUUAUCAGAUCAUCAAAAGUGUGUGGGAUGGUGCCAGAGAGCCCGUUAUGGGAGAGAUUCAACGUUUCCAGGUUCUUUAAUUCUCCAAGCAGCGGUGGAACCUCUCCUGUCAACAUAUUUUGACUAAGAUCGAGACUUUCAAGAUUUUGCAUCUUUCCAAUUUCGUCAGGAAUGCUAUCCACAAAUCUAUUCUCGCUCAAGUUGAAGAACUGUAAUUUCAAGAAGUUUCCCAGCUGUUUGGGAAUUGGACCGCUUAAGUUGUUUGAUGCCAAGUUAAGAAUUUCAAGAUUGGAUAAGUUUCCCAAUUCCAAAGGAAUACUGCUUGAAAGAUUGUUGUCUCCUAACAACAAUUUGAACAAUAAUGGCAACAUUCCCAACUCUUUUGGGAUCUUCCCACUUAGAUGAUUGGCGGAGAGAUCAAGUUGUUGCAGUUGAAUUGCUUUCCCAAGUUGAGGCGGUAUAGCACCAGAAAUAUUGUUGUUGGAGAUGUUCAGGCUUGUGAGCAUGUGGCACUGCCCCCAUUUCUCAGAAAGCUCACCAUAAAAAUUGUUGCUGCUUAGAUCAAUAUAAUUUAGGGUCGGGUACACACCAAAACUUUCGGCUAUGUCUCCCGUCAGUUGGUUUCUUUCAAGCCUAACUCUGAAUAAACUAGUGCAAUUUUUCAAGCUUUUUGGAAUAGGACCAGUGAAAUGGUUUCCCAUAGCCGUAAAGUUUUCAAGAACACUACCAAGGCAUAUCUCUUGUGGUAGUUGGCCAAUGAAGUUGUUCUCAGAUAACUGUAAAGAUUUCAAAUGAGUGAUAUUAUUCAUUUCAAGAGGAAUGGCACCACUAAGCUCGUUGUGAUUAAGGAACAAAAAGGUUAAGCUAGACAAGUUUCCUAUGGAAGCUGGUAUUGAACCGUUAAGAUUGUUGAAUGACAAGUCAAGAUCAUAAAGCAAUCUCAACAAUCCAAUUUCUUGAGGUAUUGAACCAGAAAGCUCGUUCUCAAAAAGAUAUAAAGUGGUUAAGUUCCUCAAGUUACCUAUGGAAGGAGGGAUUGGACCAGUGAGAUUGUUAUGUGAUAAUUGAAGAUCAUUAAGAGAUCUUAACAAUCCAAUUUUUUGAGGGAUGGAACUAGAAAGCUCGUUCUUAAAAAUAUGCAAAGUGGUUAAGUUUCUCAAGUUUCCUAUGGAAGGAGGGAUUGGACCAAUGAGAUUGUUAGAUGACAACUCAAGAGUGAGAAGGUUAGGGAGUGAAGAGAAAUUGAGAUUGUGGAGUGUACCUCUCAAACAGCAACUGUGAAGGUCUAAAUCGGAGACACUUCCUGACUUGUGACAAGUCACUCCAAACCAAUGAUGGCAAGAAUUGCGUCCAGACCAAGAAGAGAGGAAAGAUUGGGUUUGAUUAUCAAGACUGGCCUUCCAUGUUAGAAGAGUGAGUGCUUCUUGAUCUUGUUCAACUUUCAAAAGAGAAGUGGUAGGGGUAGAGGCAGAAGUAAAAGUGACAUGGAAUAAUGAUAUUGAGUAUAGAAAUAAAAGGAUGAAUAUGAAGAAGCAAGGAGUGAUGAUGAGUUGGCGGAGUAAGGAGAAAGAUGAAGAAUAUUCAAGGCCCAUUAUUGAAUUGGUAGAAAUGAAGAUGAAACACUUAUUUAUAGACUUAAAUGUGAUACAUCCAACAUUUCCAUUAGUUGAUGUUGACAUCUAACCACCUACUUCGUCUACGAUUAAUGGAACUAAAAAGGAUUAUAUACAUGAGUUCAAUUCCACACUUAUUUUAUUUUAUUUUAUCAAAAUGCUCUUAAUUUUUUAAUUAAAAUUUACACCUACAAUUACAUAUGAAAUAAUUAAAAUAUUUCUUUUUCACUUCGUGCACUUUUAAAUAUAACUUGUUUAAAAUUAAUAAUUACAAUUCAUUUUAAGAAGUAGGGACAAAAUAUGCCCACGUCAACAACCUAGUUGAUAUAGGAAGUCCACUUCAACCAACAUUACUUGUACAUAUGUCUUUAUAUAAAACACUUAAUGUAUUUUUUUUUUUCAAAAAUUCAUAAAUAUAAACGUAAUUUUAUUUACAACAAAGUUGCUAUAUUCCUAUACUAAAUUUUAUAAAAAUGACAUUUAAAACUUUAAUUUUCUUAAUCUAUUUUUUAAAUAAUAUUGUAAUGAAAGAAAAAGGGAAGAAGAAGUAUAUAUAUAUGUGUGUGUGUGUGACUAAAUCGAGAGAGAGAGAGAGAGAGAGAGAGAGAGAGAGAGAGAGAGAGAGAGAGAGAGAGAGAGAGAGAGAGAGAGAGAGAGAGAGAGAGAGAGAGAGAGAGAGAGAGAGAGAGAGAGAGAGGAAAAUAAGAAAAUUGAAUAACUAAAUAGAUAAAUGAAAUUCAAUCACUUUAAGAAGUUUACACCUAUUCACCAAAAAAUAGAAAAUGGGUAAAUAGUAAAUACAAGAAAAUUAGAAAUUCAAUUACUCCUGAAAAUGAUGAUUGACCAUGCCUUAUAGGAUUUGAAAUCUUUAACAAAACUCAAUAUCAAUUUUAAGCAUCAAUGAAUGAAAUAAUAAUAAUAAUAAUCAUAUGGGGCUUAGGUCAUAAAUUUUAUUUCAAAAUCAUUUAAGAUAUAAAUCAAUUAAAACUAAAUUUUUAAGUUUAUAAAUUUUAAAUUCCUCCCUUACUCACUAUUUGGAUUAAUAAUCAAAUUGCUUAGGUCAUAAAUUUUAUUUCAAAAUCAUUUAAGAUAUAAAUCACUUAAAACUGAAUUUUUAAGUUUAUAAAUUUUAAAUUCCUCCCUUAAUGUUUGGAUUGAAUUCUUUUAACUAUUUUGCCCUAUGAGAAAUAAACUCUUUUUAACUCUAUUAGUUCUUUCAUAAUUUUUAUCCUUACAAUAUGAACUAUAUUAUUUCUCUUAAUAUUUUAUAGAUCAUUUAUGGUAUAUUUUAAAACCAAAUUAGUUGUCAUUUCUUCUAUUUCUUUCCUAGACAAAUGCAUGAUUUGUGGUCGAUGUUUAUCAUUUUUAUUAAAGGUUUUUGCACUCAUUUGUAAGUGAGACCCAUCACCUAUGAAAAAUAUAGACAUCUUUUUUUUUUUUUUUUUCAUUUGGCAGUCUUAAGGAAUUAGUAUUUGGACAAAAACAAGGACUAAGGACUACCAAAUUUUCACUUUGUUGUACAUCCAAAUAAGACACACAAUCAUUUAUGUAUUGUCUAUUUUAGGCCCAAGGAGCUCUCAAGGUUUUAAAAUGCAUCUCUAAGGUUAAGAGUAACCCAACAUAUAUAUCGUUAUGAACUUUGUUCUCUAUCCGAUGUGGGAUGUUAUAAAAGUUGUUCAACAGGAUUAAUACAUUUGUGAAGCUCAGAAGAAUCACAAAAAUCAAAGGAAAAUCUUUUAAGCAUUACAACAUAAAAGAUGCAGGACCCAACCACACAUGCAUUUUCCUUAUCAAACAAUUGUCUUGACAAGCCAUUCUAACCCCACUUGGCUUGCCAUCACUAGUGAUGGACCUACAUCAUUCAAAUUCUCAAUGCUCUUUGAAGGCAAUAUGCGCUUGAAGUCAAAAGAGCUUCGAAUUUUUGUUAGAUAGUUCAUCUUUGCUAUUUGGGAACAUAUUUUCCUUUUCUCUUUUUGUUCUCUUUUUUUUAUUAAUAGAAAGUUUACCCUUCUAGAGUGUAAAAUCCUCUUCAACUUUGCAAUUAGAGUUAAUACAUCUCGUAUUCAAUUCAAUCCUCGUCUUUUUUGACCUCCUAAAUUCUAAACCUUGUCUGGGUUUUCCAGUUUUGUGAAAAAUUACAUCAUGGGGACCUAACAGGAUGGGAUUUGAUUCAAUGUUAAAGAGAAAAUUUUGGAAAAAUCUGCAAAACCCUCAACAGUUGUGGCCAUAGCUCAACACCAAGAUGGGAAUUUACAAUCUAAUAAUGUUGAUGAAUGGUUCAUAGACUGCUCUACAAAACUAGAGUUUGUCGGAAUGCUUUGCCUUUGUUGAAAGAUGUGAAGGUCCUCACAUUCUUGAGCAGGAAGAACCUAGGUCCAAAGUAAUCAGAAAAGGAUAAGAACGCCUAGAUCAUUUCACACUGAAUCACUUUACUCUAGCUACUCUGGUUAAACGGAUUCAUCCCAGAGAAACCCUGUGAAGAUAGCAGCCUUGUUUUAGUUAUAAAAAGAAGAAAUAUGAUCAUUACUUUUGUACAAACAAUGAUAUUUAUUUAGUAAUGUUUACAUAUUCUUAGCAUGUAAAAAGAAGUAGACUUAAACGUUUAAGAACAUUUAGAUACCGGUUUAAGCAAAUAUAUUAUUCAAAGUUAUACAUAUAGCUCUAUUAGAUUUAAGUUAAAUAAAGUUAAGAGUCAAAAUUUAUAUUAAGAAACAAAUGUUACCUGAGAGUAAUUCCUCUUACAUUGUAGCAGAACUAAAAAAAAAAAAAUUAAUUCCUUCAAUAGAAUUUAUAUGAAAACUUCAUUUAUUUUGUGCAUGCAUUAAAAUAAUGAUUUGACUUGAAUUUAUUAACAAACUAAAACAAAAAUUAUUUGUAUUAUUUAUAUAUCAUUAUUAAAAAUUACAUAUUUGGAUAUGAAUAUAGAAUUCCCUUUCUAAUUACAAGUUUUUAAUCAAAACUUUUGUUGUCUUUGAUAGGGUGGAAAUAUUGUUACAUUCCUAAUUCAUAUCAACAAUUGUGUGGAAAAGUCAUUGCAUUCCUAAUUGUUGUCAAUAAUUGUGUGGAGAAGUUGUUGCAUUACUAAUUCUUAUCAACAAUUGCUUUAAAAUUUUUGCUAAAUAAUCCAAGUUCUAGAAAUUAUUGAACUAUCCAUGUUUACUCAAUGACAAGUCUAAAAAUUUAUAAAAAUAAUUUAGAAGUCUAUAACUAACUCAAAUAGUACUAUAGUCCAGGACCCAAAACUUUCUUAGUACAUAAUGUUGAAAAUCUACCAAAUUUUACCAAAUCUUUUCUAUACAAGCCAAAAUUGAAUCAAGUUGAAUUGGAUUCUUUAGUUUCGUUUCAAAUAUACUAAAAUUUAUUAAAAAUAACUAGAGGUAAAGAUUCUUAAUGAAACCAUUCCAAAAUUGAAACUAUGUAAACAUUAUUAACUGGACCCACAAUCUAUUGAAAUAACACAUGGAAAACUUACCAAUUGAUCUUGUUUAAACUUCCUAUUACAAUUUUUUUUUUAAAUAAAUAAAUAAAUAAAUCCCUAGACGGGACUGAAUAUGUGAGGCUCAGAAGAAUCAUAAAAAUCAGACGAAAAUCUUUUGGGCAUUACCACAUAAAAGAUGCAGGACCACACAUGCAGUUUUCUUAUCAACCAGUCAUCUUGACAACCCACUUUGAAGCCCACUUGGGCUUGCCAUCACCAUUGAUGGACUUACAUCAUUCAAAUUUUCAAUGAUCUUUAAACGCGAUAUGUGCUUCAAGUUGAAAAGGAUUGUAGUUUUUGUAAGAUUGUUCGCCUUUGCUAUUUGGGAACUCAUUUUUCUUUUUCUCUUUUUUUUCCAUUUUUUUUUCAUAGAACGUUUACCCUCCUUGAAUUUAAAAUCCUCCGUUCUCUGUUCAGAUUUCAGCUUUGUAAUUGGAAUCAAUAGAUCUCAUAUUCAAUUCAAUCCAAGUGUUUUUCUGGCCUCCUAAAUCCUAAACCCUAUCUGGGUUUUCCAUUUUUGUGAAAAAUUAAAUCACCAGGUCCGGGGCCCAACAGGAUGGGAUUAUAUUCAAUGUUAGAGACAAAAUUUUGUAAAAGUAUAUCUACAAAACCCCCUCAACAGUUGUGGCCAUAGCUCAAGACCAAAAUGGGAAUUUACAAUCUAAUAAUGCUGAUGAAUGCUUCAUUGACUGCUCUAUCAUACUAGACUUUAACUGAAUGCCUGUCAUUUGUCGAAAGACAUGAAGUUCCUCACAUGUAGAUAUGAACAUAAAAUUCCCUUUUCAACUGCACACAUUUGUAAUCAAGACUUUUGUUGUCUUUAAUAGAGUGGAAAAGUCAUUGCUUUACUAGUUCUUAUCAAUAAUUGUUUUCAAGGAAUCUAGACCCAAUAUUCAUAUCAUCAAUGGUAGCCAUCAAUUAUCCUAGUUGAUGUGAGUGGUAUAAUCAAGGUAAAGUAUAUAUGAGCUUGAUGUAUUAAAUCUGACUGUUAAAAUAGAAAGUGAGGAUUGAAUCCAUUGUAUUAAGGCUAAGUAGGGUAUUUUACCUAGAUUAUUUUUUUUUUCUUUUUAAAAGGUAAAAUUUGUAUUAAAACUUCAUCUAUGUCAAGGCAUAGCACAAAUGAAGGGUGGCAUGCUUUCAUGUAGAAAUAAAAUAGAAUUUCAUUUUCUAAAUAGGGUAUUUUACCAUUGUUGUAAAUAAUUUCUUUUACUUCUUCCUUCCUGAGAGUCAAGAACUCGAAGAUAUUUGCUUCCCAAUAUUUCCCAUCCAAUCAUUCCCAUCAAUUCUUCGUGAAGGAUUGGCUUGUAAGAGACGGAUUUUAUUUUAUUUUUUAAAGUAUUUAAAUAGAAACAUGCAAUAAAAUGAUUAUAUUUUUCUUUAAUUUUAUUUUGGUUUCCAAAAUCAUUAUUUCUCAAAUAUAUUAUUUUAAUUAUAUCAAAUAAGAAUAUAUAAUUAUCAUUUCUUAAGAUAGUAUUGUUAAAUUACCAAUCUUUAAAAAUUUCAUUACGGUAACAAAUGUUUAAAAAAAAUUAUUACCAUUUUUUUUAAAACUAUUAGUCUUGAAAUAAUUUGUUUUAAUUGUAUAAAAAGAAGAAAGAUGAUAAUUAUUUUUGUAUAGACAAUGGUAUUUAGUUAGUCAUUUUUAGAUAUUCUUAACAUGUAAAAAGAAGUAGACUUAACAUUUAAGAACAUUUAGAUACCACUUUAAACAAAUAUAUUAUUCAAAAUCAUACAUCUAGCUCUAUUACAUUUAAGUUAAAUAAUGUUAGUCAAAAUUCAUAUUAAAAAAAAAUGAUACCUAAGAGUAAUUCCUAUGACAUUAUAACAUGAACUAAAAAAAAAAAUUCCUUAAGUAGAAUUUAUAUGAAAACUUCAUUUAUUUUAAGCAUGCAUUAAAAUAAUGGUUUAUCUUGAAUUUAUUAACAAACUAAAAAAAAUAAAUUAUUUGUAUUGUUUAUCAUUAUUAAAAAAGAUGUCUUACUUUUCAAUUAAAAUUACAUAUUUAGAAAUGAAUAUAGAAUUCCCUUUCCAAUUGCAAGUUUUUAGUCAAAACUUUUGUUGUCUUUGAUAGGGUGGAAAAAUUGUUACAUUCCUAAUUCGUAUCAACAAUUGUGUGGAAAAGUCAUUGCAUUCCUAAUCCUUGUCAAUAAUUGUGUGGAAAAGUUGUUGCAUUACUAAUUCUUUUCAACAAUUUCUUUCAAGGAAUCUAUACCCAAUAUUCAAAUUAUCAAUAGUAGAUGUCAAUGAUCCUAAUUGAUGUGAGUCAUCUAAUCAAAGUGAAGUGUACAUGAACUUCAUCUAUUAAAUCUUAGUAUUAACAUAAAAAGUAACAAUGGAAUCCUUUGCAUCAAGGCUUAAGGAACAGUAAUUAUAAUGCUAGGAAUCUAGAUUAAUUUUCUUAAGUAUAAAGUAAGUCCAUACCUUUUGUAUAAAAGUUUCUACUUUUAUAUAAAAAUUUCUACUUUUUUUUAAAUAAAAUAUAUUCAAAUGAAACCUAAAUACUUAAAUAAAAAAUAUAUCAAAUAAUAACAUUUAAUUUAAACUAGUAAUUAAAAAUGAUAAAAAACUUAUAAGCAAAAAACUAUACUCAAUAAAGAUUUAAACUAAUUAAGUUCUAAUAAAUAAUUGCUCGUGCUUGACCCGUUUUAAAGCCUUUUCACAACUUGAAAUCAUCUUAAGAAACUUGUCCCAAAGUUUUCACAUGCAUUCAUGACUUUGAUAGGUAGUGUCAACUUCUGAAUACCAAAAACAACCAAAAUAAUUGCUCGUGCUUGACCCGUUUUAAAGUCUUUGCCCAACUUGAAAUCAUCUUAAAAAACACUUGCCCCAUAGUUUUCACAUGCAUUCAUGAGUUUGAUAGGUAGUGUCAACUUCCAAAUAACAAAAACCACUAAAAUAAUUGCUCAUGCUUGACCCAUUUUAAAGUCUUUGUCCAACUUGAAAUCAUCUUAAAAAGUAUUUGUCCUAUAGUUUUCACAUGCAUUCAUGACUUCGAUAGGUAGUGUCAACUUCCGAAUAACAAAAACAACCAAAAUAAUUACUUGUGCUUGACCCAUUUAAAGUCUUUGCCUAACUACAAAUCAUCUUAAAAAAAACUUGUCCCAAAGUUUUUACACGCAUUCAUGACUUUGAUAGGUAGUGUCAACUUCCGAAUACCAAAAACAACCAAAAUAAUUGCUCGUGCUUGACCCGUUUUAAAGUCUUUGCCCAACUUGAAAUCAUCUUAAAAAACACUUGCCCCAUAGUUUUCACAUGCAUUCAUGAGUUUGAUAGGUAGUGUCAACUUCCAAAUAACAAAAACCACUAAAAUAAUUGCUCAUGCUUGACCCAUUUUAAAGUCUUUGCCCAACUUGAAAUCAUCUUAAAAAAUACUUGUCCUAUAGUCUUCACAUGCAUUCAUGACUUCGAUAGGUAGUGUGAACUUCCGAAUAACAAAAACAACCAAAAUAAUUACUUGUGCUUGACCCAUUUAAAGUGUUUGUCUAACUUGAAAUCUUCUUAAAAAAAACUUGUCCCAUAGUUUUCACAUGCAUUCAUGACUUUGAUAGGUAGUGUUAACUUCAUACUUGACCCAUUUUAAAGUCUUUGCCUAUCUUGAAAUUAUCUUAAAAAAAUUAUUCCAUAGUUUUUGCAUGCACUCAUGACUUUGAUAGGUAGUUUCAACUUUUGAAUAACAAAAACAACCAAAAUAAUUGCUCAUGCUUGACCCAUUUUAAAGUCUUUGCGUAACUUCAAAUCACCUUAAAAAACUUGUCCCAUAUUUUCACAUGAAUUCAUUGUUUUGAUAGGUAAUGUCAACUUCUAAACCAAAAUGACUAAAAUAAAACUCGUGCUUAAAUCAUUUUAAAGUCUUUGCCUAACUAAUAGUCUAUUUUGUUAGAUUGUGAAACCUAAAUUAAUGUUGAGGGUUAAGCUCAGCUUGUUAAGAAGUUUUUUUAUUUAUUGAAUGGUGAUUUUGCCAUGUUGAUAUUGUAUUUAACCUUCUUGUAAUUUAGGGUUUCAUGUGAAAGUUGAGAGAAGGAGAGGCUUCCACAUUGUAACCUUUCUAUCUUCUUGUGAUUAAUAGAUUCUUGAGUGUUGGUGCCCUCUAUGGGCGUAGGGAAUUCAUUGAAUUUCGAAUACCACUCUUAUAUGUGGUUGCAUUAAUAAUCUUCAUAGUCUCACUUGCAUUCAUGACUUCAAUAAUUGGUGUAAUGAUGUCAUGACUUAUCUCCUUGAAUUUUCUUUUGAGAAAACUAUUAUAGAGGUGACUAGAAACCUAUCGAAUUUCAGUCCAACCUCACCUUUAGACAAGUUAGGCAAUCCCCUAAAGCACUCACUCCAUAAAAAGCUCCAAUUUUUUUUUAAUUAUUAUUAAUACUUUUUUUCUUGUUUUUUUUAGCUAUUUUAAAUAGUUAUCGAUAGUUUUUUAUUUUAAUUAAGUGAUGAACAAAAAAGAAAAGAAAAGUUAAAAAGAAUGCCCAAACUUUUAUAAUUAUCUAUAUAUAUUUGGCAUUGAGACAUUGAUUCAACUACGUUUACCCAUUAUUGUCAUUAGGAUUUAUUAUUUCAAUUUUAUUAGUCUAUAAAAAAAAUAUAUUGAUUUUAUUUUGAAAACUUAACAGGUUUUAUUAAGUCUUUUUAUCUUUCUCAACUUCGUGGUUUUUAUCUCAUAUUAUCUUUUUCACAUAGUAGAAAAAGAAAAAGAAUUGUAACUCAAAUACACAAAGGAAAUAAACUAUAUGUCCUACAAGUGUAAUUAAUAUAUAAUAAAGAACUCUAGAGCUAGAUACACAUUAACUUGCUCUCUGAAGUUAUUCCACCUUCUCAAUUUGCACACGAGUCUUUACUUGAAAACAUUAAAAUUAAUUGAAAUAACAUAAGAUCUAGUGAAAAGUUGUGAUUCACAAGUGUUAUGAUGGUCAAAAUAAAUUUAGAACAUAUUAAAAUUUAUAAUAGGAUAUAAGAAGUAUAUGAGAUUUAAAAAUAUGUAAUCAUGAUUCUAGACAUAUCUAUGGUCAAUCUAUUAUCUAUACAUAAGCUUACUACUUGUGGCAAUACCACAUCAACAUGAUCUUUAAGAUCUCACUAUCCUAGAUCACAACUCAUUUUUUGGUCAUCCAUCUAAGGACACAAUAAAGCAUAAUUUACCAUUUCAGACUCUACUGCCUAGCUUGAUAUCAAAACCCACAACACCAAUUUAUGGUCCUCCCCCUUACUACAUAAGUGGUGUGGAGUUUUAGAUCAAAACUAAAUGAAACACCCAUUGAUAUACAUGCUAUGUAUCAUACUCAUUAUAUAUUAAUCUCUAAAAUUUUAACAAUUGAUUUAAAAUAUAACAAAGUUAGUUGGUGUUAACAUUGAACCACCUCCUUAUCAUCUAUAAUUAAUCAAAUUGGAAAGGAUUAUAUACAUGAGCUCAAUUACAUUCCAAACUUGUUUUGUUUUAUUUUAUUUAUUUUAUCGAAAUGCUCUUAAUUUUUUAAUUAAAAUUUAUACAUGUAAUUACCCAUGAAAUAAUUAAAAAGUUUCCUUUUCACUCUCUUCUCUUUUAAAUAUAACCUAUUGAAAACUAACAAUUAAAAUUCUUUUUAAGAAGUGAGGGCCAAAAAUUCCUUAACAAAGGCCCACAUCAACAACCUAGUUGAUACAGGAAGUCCACUUGACCAACACAACCUAUACAUAUGCCUUCAUAAAAAAUAAAAAACAAAUAAAAAGUAAAUCUUCUUUGAGUAUGUAAAGCCAACAUGGGAUGGGAGGCAAGUAGGUAGUACAUCAUUAAAAGAAAAGAAAAGACCAAAGGAGGUAGUGAGAUGAUAAAAAAAGACUGGAGAGUACAAAUAUGCAUUUCCAGAAUGUUUGCAACCUUAUAUUGUUCAUCAUGUAAAGAUGUGGGAGUAAAUGGUAAUUGUGGAUACCGAGCUAUAGCCUCUACUUUGGGCAUGGGUGAGCAUGAUUAGCCAUAGGUUAGGCAAGACUUGUUGUGGGAGUUAUAUACAUAUUGUGUAGAGUAUGACAUGUUAUUUUAGGAUAACUUGCUAGUUGAUGAGCUCUUUCAUUCCCUAAAUUUCUUGGAUAAUCCUACUUUGAUUGAUAGAUGGAUCACUACGCCCCAUAUGGGCCAUAUUGUAGUUUCUAAAUACAAUGUUGUUGUCCACAUAUUGAUCUAGCGGUGCCUAACAUUCUAGCGUCUUCGAUUGAUGUUGUUGUCUAUACCUAUACGAAAGAUUAUAUUAAUUGGUUUUGUUAAUAACAAUCAUUUUAAGAAGGCAAUGUCAUGAAUACUACUAUACUUUAUUUCUAAUUCAUUAAUCUUACUUAAUGAAGUUAUUUACUAUAAUAUAAAAUUGAUUUAUAGGUUUUGAUGCAACCUGGAGCCCUAAUGCCACCUAUUACAAGGAGCUGGUAUAGGAGUCGAUAUCAAUGUGCUUAGGGUUGGGCGACUCCAUAUGUACCCACCAUUGAGAUGUUUCAUGAUUUAAUUUCUGAGAAUGUUAUCACAUAAGAUACUAUUGAUUUGGAUGUUGAUGUAUGAUGUAUUGUAUUAUAAAUGUUGUAUGACAAUGUAAUCAAGGAAGAUACUAUGUAUUUGAAUGAUGAUAUAUAAUCUAUUGUAUUAUUAUUGUUCUAUGAUGGUUUAGAUGCCAAUGUCACUUUGAAUAUUGAUGGUAGUGUGAAAGUUACAUACAACCGUUAAAAAAUUUAUAAGCAUAGGAGAUUACAACAGUAAGAUCAUAUAAUAUGGAAAAAUUUUGCAAAAAUAUCAUAACGUACAAAAUGACUUAUUAAAAUAUAUUGUUUGCAAAAUAAUAUUUUAUAACCAUAUAAUGUGGACAUAAAAUGCUUGCAAAAUUUCAUAAUAUAACAGAUGGAAAAUAAGGCUUUUGGGUUACCUUUUGAAAUGCCUUAAAAUUCUGAUUUGUUUUUUUACUGACCAAUUUUCUCGCUUCAAGUCAUGAAUGGAACUACAAAUACAAGAACCAUUCUUUUCUCAUAGCACAAGAGCCUUGACCUUUGUUUUCACAGAGAAAAAAUGAAUAAAAUUCGAGAAAAGAACUUAUUUCUUCAUAAAGAAGAAUUGUAUUCUUUCUUUUGUUUUUAAGGAGAGAAGAAAACAUAUUUUAAAAAAAAUUAAUUGUCACAGCUUUUGGGAAGUUUUAAAACUCCCAAAACUAUUCCCCUAUUUUCUCACAUUUAUUGGGUUGGAUCAGGUUAGCCCACUUGGGCACCCAUACCCAACUCUAACAUCCCCCACUUACACAAGAUGGGUUGAACUAGCUUGAUCACUCAUCCAAGUCCAUUAUGUUCCACUUUUGAAGGUCAUUCAUACAGGUAAAUGGGUCGUGUGACCAUGUAAGCACACCUACAAUUUGGGAGCUAUAAUUUGGUAACCAACACAGACCAGCUCCUCAUUGAGAUUGUCCAUGCUACAUAGUUGAUAAUUUAGAAAAGCAAAAUGGCUCAUAAUACAAAAAGUCAAACAUCAGAUCAAAUUCCUUUUUCUGCCCCCCAAAAGUAUCGUGAUAUACAAUGUUAUGUUACCUAAAAAAUAUAUAAGCCUGACCUAAAAAGUACCGUGAUAUUACAUCCCAUACUGCUUCUAAUCCAUAAGAAGCUCCCAAAGGUAAUCCUAGAUAAAUGUAAGGAAGUUUCCUCACCUUUGCAACCCAAUUCAGUAGUUAGACUAUCUACAUCUGUGACCUUUCCAAUUGAAAUCAAUUCACUUUGAUCCAAUUUGAUUCUAAGCACUAAUAAUGCCUUAAACCAUAUGAGUAUCCAACUUAGAUAAGUCAUUUGCUCUUGAGAAUUCUCAUAGAAGACCAAAGUGUCAUCUGCAAAUAAUAGAUGGGACACAACCACCCCCUCUCCCCCCUCCCUUUCACCCUAAAACUUGAUAAGUAACCCCCCUCUUAGGCUCUCUCCAACAAGCAACUCAAGACCUCCAUAACCAAAACAAACAAAAAAAAAAAAAGGACAAAGGAUCCCAAUGUCUCAGCGCUCUAGAAAUUUUAAAAGAAACCAAAAGGAGUUCCAUUAACCAACACUGAAAACUUUGCUAUGGAAAUGUACUAUUACAUCCAUCUAAUCCAUUUAUGGUUAAAACCCCCUUUUUUUUUUUUUCAUAACUACAAUCAGAAAAACCCAAUUGACAUGGCCAUAUGCUUUUUCUAUGUCCAACUUGCAAAUGACACCAUUGGAGUUGACCUUCAAGGUUAAAUCAAUUGCUUCAUUCACUACAAGGGAUGCAUCUAAAAUUUGUCUCUCCUCUACAAAGGCGUUCCGAAACUUAGAAACCACUUUUCCCCACCACUUGCUUCAAUUUAUUUGCCAACACCUUUGCCAAAAGUUUGUAAAGACCCUAUUAAACCUAUUAGUCUAAAAUCUUUCAAAUCCUCUACACCCCCCUUCUUUAAGAUUAAAGACAAAAAAGUAACAUUUAAACUUCUUUCGAGCUUGCUAUUAGCUUUUGGUUAAUAAUUCAAAUGGGGGGGAUAACAAUGAGAGGAGUUAAGUCCAAUUUUGAGGAGAUGUUACCUUUGUGUAUCCUUAAUGGACUCAUACCUUUGUGUACAAUUUUCGUUGUAUAUAUAGUGGAGGCGUUUAGUCUUACUUUGAUUAGGAUUUUGUAUUUUGUGAGAAAGAGCUCUCAUAUUUCUUUUGUACCUUUUUCAUAGUUAAUAUAUCUUAUGUUCCUAAUAAAUAAAUAUAUACAUAUAUAUUAAUGAAAGGAGCUAUAUGGCAAGGUGCAUAGGUUGUAUACAAGAUAAAAGUCAAAAUAUAAUUCCUUUUCAUAAUUAUAAUUACAAAAUAUAAUUAUGUAUUUUUUAAUCGAAGUACUCAAUUAUAUUAGGUUUAUUUCAUAUAAAUAUAUUUUGAGUUUAUUAUGUAUGUAAUUUUUUAUUAAUAUUUGUUGGAAAAAUAAUUAAUACUUAUUAAAAAAUUUUAAAGGCAAUACUUACUAAAUUUUUUUUAAGAAAUACCGACCCUAAUCUAAAAAGGGUAUAAUUGAAGUUCAUAAGAGAUCAAAAUUUCAAUUACAAAUUUGGUGACCGUUUUGAAUACUUGUCAACUAAUUAUAAAUAUUUUGGAUAAUUUUUCCAUGGCCAAAUUGAAAGAAAGGCAAAUAAUUAAAGAGAUUGGAAUGGAUCUCUACUUCUCUAGAAAGGAACCCGCCAUUGAAAUUAUUGAAUGCAGCCAAAAGCAUCAAUUAAUGUGAUGGAGAUUCGUCUUUGUCUUUGAUACACGUGGGUGAGUAAACGUCCAUAUGAGAAAAUAACAUUAUUAACGUUAUAUAACCUCUCACAUUAAAUAUUACUUGAAUCAGGUAGAAUAGAUUUGAAAUGGAGGGAACUUAAUGUGAAAAGAAAAUAAGGGUGCACCAUCUCUAUCUGUUUUCCAUUAACAAAUUAACCAAAGUGCAAAUUCAACGAUUGGGAUUUAUUUUGAUCUGAGAGUUUUGAGAAGCUGUUUGUUGAAAUGUCUGAAUGAAUGACUUGGGUUUCAGCUCAUGAAUCUAGAAAUAUACCACAUGAAAGGCCUCUUCUUUUUUGAAAGACGCAAUACAAGCUUUUACAGGAGUGCAAUAUAUAACAUAUUCGAAAGAACAAUACUUUGAAGGGAUUGUCCAAAUUAAUAAAACAGAAUACCAAGUCAAAAUUACAACUUUACAUCAUGGAGAAGGGAGGACCCUCAACUAGCAUGACCCAGCAGCUCACCCAAUGUUAUCAUGGGAAACGGUUUUGACAAUGGUGGCCACUGUGUUGGGAGUGCUCGACCAACUUGUUGCAUAGUCGGCCGAGAUUGGGGAUUAAUACGCAAGCAUGCAAAUGCUAACUUCACUACAGCCACUACUUCCUCAGCCACUUGAUUCACAGGAGGUGAGGGGCGCUGGUCCAUCACAUCAUUCAACAGGCGAUGGUCCACAGUUGAUGGUGAUGAGAAUGAUGAGGACGCUGACGAUAACAGGGACGAGAUGAGUUCUCC